ACGAAGCUAAUUAAGUCAUUAAUCAUUAUGCCAAAUAAGUUAAAUAACAAAUAUUAUUUACAAUCUUUCAUUGAUAGAAGCAUUAUACAUUUGUCUAUUUUCAAAUUUUCAAUUUUCGGCCACAAUAUACAAUACAACAUUACAACCAUUUCACUGCCACAACUCACAAGCCUUCACUGCCGCAAUAUAUAAUACAAUAUUACCCACCAUUUUUAAGGCUCCGUUUGGUACAACUUAUUAAAUAGAGCUUAUAACAGUAGAGCUUAUAGCACUAGAGCUUAUACCAAUAGAGCUUUUGGACAAAAAGUCAUUGGGUGUUUGGUUGUCAAUAAAAAAAGUACUUUUGAACCAUUAAAUUGUGUGAUAUUUUUUAUAUUAGAUAUUUUUAGAAAAGCUCUAUAACCUCUACUCCCAAAAGCUCAAAUUUUGGGCUUUUGUUAGUAGAGGUAAAUUAGCUUAUUUAAGCUAAAAAAACUCUACUAAAAAAAUAACCAAACACCAUAAAAAAUUUUAAAAAGUGCUUAUACGAUUAAAUAAGCACUUAUGGCUCUUAAAUAAGCCAUACCAAACAGGCACUAAGUCCAGCAACAAGUAUAUUAUAUACAUCAGUAGUCCACAAAACCAAAUAAUCAAUCCCUAAGACAGUAACACUAACAGAAUCUAAAGAGUAUACACACUAUGUACGAGCCAUGGCAUAAAUUAAAAUAAAAAAACACAUGUGGGCUGCAGCACCAAAGAUGACCGCGUGUGAGGGGCUAACGACAGCGUCACCAUGCUUGAGGGGAAGGGCUGUGUUGCUGCUAAGGGGCUGUGCUAGGAAGUCGUGCACACGAGGAAGAGAGGGGUUGAGGUGACAUGAGGGAGAGGCGCUCACAAGGAAGAAGCCGAGAUGGGCUAAGCUGAAAUUUUGCGCCGUGCGGAGAGGGAGAAACGUGCGGCAGAGAGACGACAGAGGGAGGUGUGGGAGAGGAGUGGGAGAGGAGAGGGAUGCAAUGGGUUGCAAUUGAAAGUUAGGGAUUUGAGAGAUUUGUUUUGGGUUUAUAUAUUUUCAAAUAAAUAAAUUAUUUAUAAUUAAAUCAAACCAAACCGAUCGAUUUUUCGAUUCUGUUUGGUUUUAAACUGACUCGAACAAAAACCAAUCGGUUCCUUAUUUUUAAAACCAUUUAGUUUUUUUGGUGUGGUUCGGCAAAAUCUGAGCCGUUUGCC
rnacentral:lncRNA from 1 species